rnacentral:lncRNA from 1 species
CGAUCGUAAAGAUGCAGACAUACACUUUUGUUCGUUCUCCCUCCCCAAGUAACAAAUGGGGGCUCAGGCGGGAAACUAACAACGGGAAUGCAACAACGGGAAUUGUAAAACGAAUGUAAUUGAACAUCUCAGGCGGGAAACUGACAAUGGGAAAAUAACAACGGGGAAAUGUAGAAGGAACGUAACAACUGGAUAUAAUCUCAAGCGGGAAACCACUCUCUUGGAU